AACGCGAAGGAACCUUACCUACUCUUGACAUCCAGAGAACUUUCCAGAGAUGGAUUGGUGCCUUCGGGAACUCUGAGACAGGUGCUGCAUGGCUGUCGUCAGCUCGUGUUGUGAAAUGUUGGGUUAAGUCCCGCAACGAGCGCAACCCUUAUCCUUUGUUGCCAGCGGUUAGGCCGGGAACUCAAAGGAGACUGCCAGUGAUAAACUGGAGGAAGGUGGGGAUGACGUCAAGUCAUCAUGGCCCUUACGAGUAGGGCUACACACGUGCUACAAUGGCGCAUACAAAGAGAAGCGACCUCGCGAGAGCAAGCGGACCUCAUAAAGUGCUCGUAGUCCGGAUUGGAGUCUGCAACUCGACUCCAUGAAGUCGGAAUCGCUAGUAAUCGUAGAUCAG
rnacentral:rRNA from 1 species